rnacentral:rRNA from 1 species
UAGGUGACAGGUGCUGCAUGGCUGUCGUCAGCUCGUGUCGUGAGAUGUUGGGUUAAGUCCCGCAACGAGCGCAACCCUCGCCUUUAGUUGCCAGCAUUUAGUUGGGUACUCUAAAGGAACCGCCGGUGAUAAGCCGGAGGAAGGUGGGGAUGACGUCAAGUCCUCAUGGCCCUUACGCGUUGGGCUACACACGUGCUACAAUGGCGACUACAGUGGGCAGCUAUCCCGCGAGGGU